rnacentral:rRNA from 1 species
UACGGAGGGCGCAAGCGUUGUUCGGAAUCACUGGGCGUAAAGCGCGUGUAGGCGGCUUGGCAAGUCGGGUGUGAAAGCCCGGAGCUCAACUCCGGAACUGCACUCGAAACUGCCUCGCUCGAGUCCCGGAGAGGGUGGUGGAAUUCCCGGUGUAGAGGUGAAAUUCGUAGAUAUCGGGAGGAACACCAGUGGCGAAGGCGGCCACCUGGACGGUGACUGACGCUUAGACGCGAAAGCGUGGGGAGCAAACAG